CUGGAGGCCGCCUGGUUGGAAAACGCUGAGGUAGAUGAGACCCCGAACCCAGAGCAUAACCCGCACUUUAAGCUAUGAAGAGAGUGUUUCUUCCUAAUUUGCCUCUGUUCAGACAGCAGGCUAGAGCUGUGGCCACAACACAUAUCGAGGCUUCUGGUUCACGCCAUGUUGCAGAUUCCAGAAACAAAACGAAGAAGAUGAAAAGAAGAAGGAAAAGAAAGAAAAAAGAAAGAAAAGAUAAAAAUUAUAAAAAUAAAGUACCUGUUUGAUCAAGG